UACGUAGGGGCUAGCGUUAUCCGGAAUUACUGGGCGUAAAGGGUGCGUAGGUGGUUUCUUAAGUCAGAGGUGAAAGGCUACGGCUCAACCGUAGUAAGCCUUUGAAACUGGGAAACUUGAGUGCAGGAGAGGAGAGUGGAAUUCCUAGUGUAGCGGUGAAAUGCGUAGAUAUUAGGAGGAAUACCAGUUGCGAAGGCGGCUCUCUGGACUGUAACUGACGCUGAGGCUCGAAAGCGUGGGGAGCAAACAGGAUUAGAUACCCGGGUAGUCCCUGAGCGGG
rnacentral:rRNA from 1 species